rnacentral:rRNA from 1 species
UACAGAGGUCUCAAGCGUUGUUCGGAUUUAUUGGGCGUAAAGGGCGCGUAGGCGGCGUGGUAAGUCAGAUGUGAAAUCCCGGGGCUCAACCCCGGAACUGCAUCCGAUACUGCCAUGCUAGAGGAUUGGAGAGGUAGCUGGAAUUCUUGGUGUAGCAGUGAAAUGCGUAGAGAUCAAGAGGAACACGCGUGGCGAAAGCGAGCUACUGGACAAUUCCUGACGCUGAGGCUCGAAGGCUAGGGUAGCGAAAGGG